AACAGGAUUAGAUACCCUGGUAGUCCACGCUGUAAACGAUGUCGACUUGGAGGUUGUGCCCUUGAGGCGUGGCUUCCGGAGCUAACGCGUUAAGUCGACCGCCUGGGGAGUACGGCCGCAAGGUUAAAACUCAAAUGAAUUGACGGGGGCCCGCACAAGCGGUGGAGCAUGUGGUUUAAUUCGAUGCAACGCGAAGAACCUUACCUACUCUUGACAUCCAGAGAAUUUGCUAGAGAUAGCUUAGUGCCUUCGGGAACUCUGAGACAGGUGCUGCAUGGCUGUCGUCAGCUCGUGUUGUGAAAUGUUGGGUUAAGUCCCGCAACGAGCGCAACCCUUAUCCUUUGUUGCCAGCACGUAAUGGUGGGAACUCAAAGGAGACUGCCGGUGAUAAACCGGAGGAAGGCGGGGAUGACGUCAAGUCAUCAUGGCCCUUACGAGUAGGGCUACACACGUGCUACAAUGGCAUAUACAAAGAGAAGCGAACUCGCGAGAGCAAGCGGACCUCAUAAAGUAUGUCGUAGUCCGGAUUGGAGUCUGCAACUCGACUCCAUGAAGUCGGAAUCGCUAGUAAUCGUAGAUCAGAAUGCUACGGUGAAUACGUUCCCGGGCCUUGUACACACCGCCCGUCACACCAUGGGAGUGGGUUGCAAAAGAAGUAGGUAGCUUAACCUUCGGGAGGGCGCUUACCACUUUGUGAUUCAUGACUGGGGUGAAGUCGUAACAAGGUAACC
rnacentral:rRNA from 1 species